rnacentral:rRNA from 1 species
GACAGAGGGGGCGAGCGUUAUCCGGAAUCACUGGGCGUAAAGCGUCUGUAGGUGGUGAUGCAAGUCACUGGUGCAAAACUCUGGCUCAACCGGAGGAAAGCCAGUGAAACUGCAUGACUAGAGUGUGGGAGAGGUAGAAGGAAUUCCCUGAGUAGCGGUGAAAUGCGUAGAUACAGGGAAGAACACCGGAGGCGAAAGCGUUCUACUGGAACACAACUGACACUGAGAGACGAAAGCUAGGGGAGCGAAUGGG